rnacentral:rRNA from 1 species
GUGCCUAACACAUGCAAGUCGAACGAGAAAGUGGAGCAAUCCAUGAGUAAAGUGGCGCACGGGUGAGUAACACGUGACUAACCUACCCUCGAGUGGGGAAUAACUUCGGGAAACCGAGGCUAACACCGCAUAACAUCUACGGAUCAAAUGCGUAAGCAGCUUGAGGAGGGGGUCGCGGCUGAUUAGCUAGUUGGCGGGGUAAUGGCCCACCAAGGCAAUGAUCAGUAGCCGGCCUGAGAGGGCGCACGGCCACACUGGAACUGAAACACGGUCCAG